rnacentral:rRNA from 1 species
GACGAACGCUGGCGGCGUGCUUAACACAUGCAAGUCGAACGGAAAGGCCCUGCUUUUGUGGGGUGCUCGAGUGGCGAACGGGUGAGUAACACGUGAGUAACCUGCCCUUGACUUUGGGAUAACUUCAGGAAACUGGGGCUAAUACCGGAUAGGAGCUCCUGCUGCAUGGUGGGGGUUGGAAAGUUUCGGCGGUGGGGGAUGGACUCGCGGCUUAUCAGCUUGUUGGUGGGGUAGGGGCUGACCAAGGCUUUGACGGGUAGCCGGCCUGAGAGGGUGACCGGCCACAUUGGGACUGAGAUACGGCCCAGACUCCUACGGGAGGCAGCAGUGGGGAAUAUUGCACAAUGGGCGGAAGCCUGAUGCAGCAACGCCGCGUGCGGGAUGACGGCCUUCGGGUUGUAAACCGCUUUCGCCUGUGACGAAGCGUGAGUGACGGUAAUGAGUAAAGAAGCACCGGCUAACUACGUG